rnacentral:rRNA from 1 species
UACGAAGGGGGCGAGCGUUGUUCGGAAUUACUGGGCGUAAAGGGCGCGCAGGCGGCUCUGAAAGUCAGAUGUGAAAGCCCCGGGCUUAACCUGGGAAUUGCAUUUGAUACUCUGGAGCUUGAGUGUGGGAGAGGAGACUGGAAUUCCUGGUGUAGCAGUGAAAUGCGUAGAUAUCAGGAGGAACACCGAUGGCGAAGGCAGGUCUCUGGGCUGACACUGACGCUCAUGCACGAAAGCGUGGGGAGCAAACAGG